rnacentral:rRNA from 1 species
UGGGGAAUAUUGCACAAUGGGCGAAAGCCUGAUGCAGCAACGCCGCGUGAGUGAUGAAGGUCUUCGGAUUGUAAAGCUCUGUCUUUUGGGACGAUAAUGACGGUACCAAAGGAGGAAGCCACGGCUAACUACGUGCCAGCAGCCGCGGUAAUACGUAGGUGCGAGCGUUGUCCGGAUUUACUGGGCGUAAAGGGUGCGUAGGCGGAUGUUUAAGUGAGAUGUGAA